AAAAUAUACUAUUUUUAACUUAUUAUGAAUUGGGUUUUUACAAACAAUAUCACCAAAAUCGAUAGUCCAUAAUCGACGAAUUUUAGUAUUUUUGUUUUUCACCGCAAUACCGCAUAUCGCAUUAUUCGCAUUGAUUAUUUGUCAUUUGACUAUUGACUGGUUAACGGCUAACAAGUUAAACUAUUAUUAAUUGAAUAGAAAUUAUUUGCGAUCUUUAAUGUAAAUAAACUGUCUUCUGUGGCCUCGGUUAGUACUAAUGUCACAGACGAUACGGACCCAGACGACACUUUAAGUAGUCUAGGAAGUAUAGCUACAGUUGAAUCCACAAAAUGUGUCGAUUUGGUGCCUGAAACUUGUGAUCUAGGAACUUUACUGACUGGUCCAGCUCGUCCAGUACUUGAGUCGUAUUCAAAAACUGUUUUUGGGAAACAAAACCGUGGUUUUAAUUCCGUUUAUUAUUCUAGCUUUAAUUGGCUAGAAUAUAGUAUAAUGCUAUUUGCUGUUUUUGCUGUCGCAAUUUUAGCGUAGCAAGUGAUAAUAAUGAUUCUACGUUUACGAGUAUUGGAUUCAACAACUGGAAAAAAG